CUUCAGUCUGUAGGCUUGUGUGCCUGGCACACGCAGCUGGGAUUUGAACCCAGGCCCCCCAGCUUGAAAUCCUGUUCUCUCACAAUGUCACCUCUGUGUGCCAGUUCCAUUUGGGCUGAAUUUCUUUUGUGUUAAUAGCCUUUAGUGAAGGAAACUCAGUUUCUUUUAACCUUGGUAAAGACCUUGUUCCCUGUAAGCAAUGGAAAUACUAGCACUCUGUGGUGUAACAGCAGAUACUUUGGCAACAGUGUGCUAAGAUAUGGCAGAACAGUCAUCUGCAGGCCCUGCUUGUAUCAUCCUGCCCUCUGGAACCCACUGGAGUAAGUCUGAUCCAUCUUCCCUGUGACAGGGCAUCAUAAUUUUGGAAGACAGUUAUUCUUAAAGAUGUGGAAAACUGCCCAUUCGUCUUCAUGAGAAGUUAGUUCAUUUGGUCACUCUUUCACAACUGCCAUGUGGUCAGUUGCUGUGCUAAGCACAGGGCUACUGCUUUGCCCAAGAGAGACAUGCUCUUUGUCUUAAUGGAAAUUAAGGUUUAUUUGGAAGUACAUUCAUCGAAGAAGUUAAUACAACAUUGAGUAUGAUGACAAGGCAAGAAACGAUGUGAUGAAAUCUAGCCGGGUCAGAGGACAGGGUCCUAACAAACUGAUACUU
ensembl:lncRNA